rnacentral:rRNA from 1 species
AGUGAACGCUGGCGGUAGGCCUAACACAUGCAAGUCGAACGGCAGCACAGUAAGAGCUUGCUCUUACGGGUGGCGAGUGGCGGACGGGUGAGGAAUACAUCGGAAUCUACUUUUUCGUGGGGGAUAACGUAGGGAAACUUACGCUAAUACCGCAUACGACCUACGGGUGAAAGCAGGGGAUCUUCGGACCUUGCGCGAUUGAAUGAGCCGAUGUCGGAUUAGCUAGUUGGCGGGGUAAGGGCCCACCAAGGCGACGAUCCGUAGCUGGUCUGAGAGGAUGAUCAGCCACACUGGAACUGAGACACGGUCCAGACUCCUACGGGAGGCAGCAGUGGGGAAUAUUGGACAAUGGGCGCAAGCCUGAUCCAGCCAUACCGCGUGGGUGAAGAAGGCCUUCGGGUUGUAAAGCCCUUUUGUUGGGAAAGAAAGGCAGCAGGUUAAUACCCCGCUGUUCUGACGGUACCCAAAGUAUAAGCACCGGCUAACUUCGUG